rnacentral:rRNA from 1 species
GAUGAACGCUGGCGGCGUGCCUAAUACAUGCAAGUCGAGCGAACAGACGAGGAGCUUGCUCCUCUGACGUUAGCGGCGGACGGGUGAGUAACACGUGGAUAACCUACCUCUAAGACUGGGACAACUUCGGGAAACCGGAGCUAAUACCGGAUAAUAUAUUGAACCGCAUGGUUCAAUAGUGAAAGACGGUUUUGCUGUCACUUAUAGAUGGAUCCGCGCCGCAUUAGCUAGUUGGUAAGGUAACGGCUUACCAAGGCAACGAUGCGUAGCCGACCUGAGAGGGUGAUCGGCCACACGGGAACUGAGACACGGUCCAGACUCCUACGGGAGGCAGCAGUAGGGAAUCUUCCGCAAUGGGCGAAAGCCUGACGGAGCAACGCCGCGUGAGUGAUGAAGGUCUUCGGAUCGUAAAACUCUGUUAUUAGGGAAGAACAAAUGUGUAAGUAACUAUGCACGUCUUGACGGUACCUAAUCAGAAAGCCACGGCUAACUACGUG